rfam:Papio anubis isolate 1X1155 chromosome 11, whole genome shotgun sequence.
UACUAGGUUAGUGCAAAAGUAAUUGUGGUUUUUGCUAUUGAAAGUAAUGGCAAAACCCACAAUUACUUUUGCACCAACCUAAUA